AUGCCUUUUGGGAUGAAUUGGUCCCUGACAUUUGAUCCUCAUCUUCUUCACUUUGUCUGCUAAAACAUUUCCAUUUUUAGCUGAUCAUUUACGGAUGGGAUAUUU